ensembl:lncRNA
AAAGUGUCGGUUUAUAAACUGACGGGACGGAUUGUAUGUUUUUCUCCUACAAGUGACGUGCAGGGCUGCGUAUGAAUGUGAGUUAAAGAAGCCUCAGAAGACCUUCAAGGAUCCAGUUGACCUCUGAAUCAGCUGUUAAGAAAAUGGGACAGUUAUAUUGCUUCAAUUGGUCUCCUACUUCAUUUGAUUCCACCAUCAUUACAAGGCUGCAAGGGAUCUGGAAAAAUGUCAUCCUGUCAAGCUGAAAAACAUCUUCAAAAAGGUACAUUUGGACAUUUCUGUCAAUACCUAUUGUCUGCCUAAAAAUAUUGCCAAAUGGGUUGUAUAUGAAAAACACAUUUAAUAUAAAAAAAAAAACAGUUGGAGAGCUGACCUUGAGUGUUACUUUUGUCUUUUAUCUGCAGGCACUAACAAGAACAGCUUGAUUGUAGAGAAGAGACCACACAGCCAUACACGCUCACUGAUGGGACGAUGAGGAACAUCAUUCAUGGAUGCUACACAACUCAAAUCUACACGUCAUAUUUGUUCAUGUCUAGGUAAAUUUGAUGAUUUUGUGUUUUAUUAACUACUUUGUUUCUGUGCAACACUUAAUGAAUGUGACUGACUAAUU